rnacentral:rRNA from 1 species
AAGAGAUCGGGGAUAACACCUGGGAAACAGAAUGCUAUACCGGAUAACAACAGAUGAUGCCUAUCAACUGUUUAAAAGAAUGUUCUGCUAUCACUCUUGGGAUGGACCUGCGGUGCAUUAGCUAGGUUGGGUAGGGGUAACGGGCCUACCAAGGCGAUGAUGCAUAGCCCGAGUUGAGAGACUGAUCGGGCCACGUUGGGACUGAGACACGGGCCCAAACUCCUACGGGAGGCAGCAGUAGGGGAAUCUUCCACAAUGGACGCAAAGUCUGAUGGAGCAAAACGCCGCGUGAGUGAAGAAGGGUUUCGGCUCGUAAAAGCUCUGUUGUUGGUGAAGAAGGACAGGGGUAGUAACUGACCCUUUGUUUGACGGUAAUCAAUUUAGAAAGUCACGGGCUAACUACGUGCCCAGCAGCCGCGGUAAAU